rnacentral:rRNA from 1 species
GCCUGCCCUGUGACCAUGAGUUUAACGGCCGCGGUAUUUUGACCGUGCAAAGGUAGCGCAAUCACUUGUCUUUUAAAUGAAGACCCGUAUGAAUGGCAAGACGAGGGCUUAACUGUCUCCUUUUUCAAGUCAAUGAAAUUGAUCUUCCCGUGCAGAAGCGGGAAUUCCACCAUAAGACGAGAAGACCCUAUGGAGCUUUAGACACCAAAGCAGACCACGUCAAAACCCCCCGACAAAGGACUGAACUAAGUGGACCCUGCCCUAAUGUCUUUGGUUGGGGCGACCGCGGGGAAAUACAAAACCCCCGCGUGGACUGGGAGCACCCUACUCCUACAACUAAGAGCCUCCGCUCUAAUAAGCAGAACUUCUGACCAACAAGAUCCGGCAAUGCCGAUUAACGAACCGAGUUACCCUAGGGAUAACAGCGCAAUCCUCUUUUAGAGUCCAUAUCGACAAGAGGGUUUACGACCUCGAUGUUGGAUCAGGACAUCCUAAU